GUUAUCGUUUAUUUGAUAGUACCUUACUACUUGGAUAACCGUGGUAAUUCUAGAGCUAAUACAUGCUAAAAACCCCGACUUCGGAAGGGGUGUAUUUAUUAGAUAAAAAGCCAACGCCCUUCGGGGCUCCGUGGUGAUUCAUGAUAACUUCACGAACCGCAUGGCCUUGCGCCGGCGGUGGUUCAUUCAAAUUUCUGCCCUAUCAACUUUCGAUUGUUGGGUAUUGGCCAACAAUGGUUACGACGGGUAACGGGGAAUUAGGGUUCGAUUCCGGAGAGGGAGCCUGAGAAACGGCUACCACAUCCAAGGAAGGCAGCAGGCGCGCAAAUUACCCAAUCCCGACGCGGGGAGGUAGUGACAAUAAAUACUGAUACAGGGCUCUUUUGGGUCUUGUAAUUGGAAUGAGUACAAUUUAAAUACCUUAACGAGGAACAAUUGGAGGGCAAGUCUGGUGCCAGCAGCCGCGGUAAUUCCAGCUCCAAUAGCGUAUAUUAAAGUUGUUGCAGUUAAAAAGCUCGUAGUUGAACCUUGGCCCUGGCUAACCGGUCCGCCUCACCGCGUGCACUGGUCCGGCCGGGGCUUUCCUCCUGGGGAUCCGCAUGGUCUUUACUGGUCGUGUCGGGGAACCAGGACUUUUACUUUGAAAAAAUUAGAGUGUUCAAAGCAGGCAUCCGCUCGAAUACAUUAGCAUGGAAUAAUGGAAUAGG
rnacentral:rRNA from 1 species